CAGAGAUAGCUCCUGGUGGCCAGGUUCUCACUUGCUUCUGACAGAAAAUGACAGACAUCCUUCAAGAAGAAGGCAGAUCCCACACAGUGACUAAAUGAACCCGGACAGCAUCAUAUAUCAUACUGCCUGGAAUUCAAGGCUACAUGUAAUUUCAUGGGAACAUGGGGCCAGUCAAGGUGAAUUGGAAUUACCCAGAGCACCUUGCCAGAAACCUUGGACUGACACCAGUGCCCUCUGCUGCCUCCAUUUCCUCUUUCUUUUGCAUAUUUGUCUCAAUAAAUGGUUUGAGACCCUCAUACAAAAUGCAAUAUAAAUGAAGAACAUGAGAAGACACAGUGAUCGUUUCCUUCAUUGAAGAUCAAAGACUGAUGACCUGGCAGUCUUCUUCAGAAUAUUCUGAUAGAGAGCAGAAAAGCAAUGCUUUAAAGUAACAAUGUGCUGCUAUCAAAGAAGAAACAUUUACAAAUGGCGGGGAGACUUAUGGGCGAUAUUGUCUGGGAGACGGCGACUGGUGAAGGUGGAAGGAUGACGACCGUGUGCCUCACUGCGGGGAAAAUUGCUUAUUCUAUUCUUCUCAUUUUUAUUUUGUCAUAAACCCCAAAUCACUUCAUCUACAGGACACUAUGACUGUAGAUCUAUACUCUAUAUACAGAUCUAUAUACAUACCCUGUACAUAUAGUUUUCCCAUUCUAUUAAAUAUAAAGGGGCCAAAAGAAGGUUCUUUAGUAUGAAGGCAUUGUAGAACAACUUGGGGUUCCAUAUAUAGCACCUUUCAUUUGAGUGAUUUCAAAGAAUGAUCCACUGAAGUAAAGAUUGUUGAAUGAUUCUUGGUUUGGACAUACAGAGCAAACUUUAAUUGUAUAAAACCUUUGCAAUAUGUGCUUUAUGUUUAUGUUAUGAUGUAAACAGUCAUUCAGAGUGUUUUUAUGUAAAACGGUUUGUUUCCUAGAUAGAUAAGCAAAGAGUUCUUUGCAUCAUGAAAGGGUUCUUCAGAUUGAUGGAAAAUUUGCAUGAAUGAUCUAUAGACGGAACUAUGUAGCACCCAAAGGGGUUCUUCGAUUGUUAUAAGCUUGACUUCAUAGUAGUAGAACAACCCUUUUGAGUGCUAUAUAGAAGCACUUUCAAUAAGGUUCUGUAUCUAGAAACAUUCACAACACAUUUUUCACCACUCUGAAGAACCAUUUCAUGCUGCUAACCCUGUAAUCAGACAAAAGGUUCUUGGAGUGUUCAUGAUUCUAUAUAGAACCAUUUUUAAUGAUUAAAUGUGUCAGAACCAGAAGUUUUGUUUACAAUUCAUAAAAGAUAAAAGUGUCUGUAGGGGACCUUAAAGAAAGAAAGCACAACCAAAAACUGCAUUAGACUAGAUUUCCCUAUCCCAGUCCUACACCCUCAGAAAUAAGGGUUCCAUACCGUCACUGGAGCAGUACACCUCUUGGGGUGGUACCCUCAAGGGUACAUCUCAGUACCUUUAGUCAGGGAAAA